GGCUCAGGAUGAACGCUAGCUACAGGCUUAACACAUGCAAGUCGAGGGGCAGCAUGAUUUGUAGCAAUACAGAUUGAUGGCGACCGGCGCACGGGUGAGUAACGCGUAUGCAACUUACCUAUCAGAGGGGGAUAGCCCGGCGAAAGUCGGAUUAAUACCCCAUGAAACAGGGGUCCCGCAUGGGAAUAUUUGUUAAAGAUUCAUCGCUGAUAGAUAGGCAUGCGUUCCAUUAGGCAGUUGGCGGGGUAACGGCCCACCAAACCGACGAUGGAUAGGGGUUCUGAGAGGAAGGUCCCCCACAUUGGUACUGAGACACGGACCAAACUCCUACGGGAGGCAGCAGUGAGGAAUAUUGGUCAAUGGCCGAGAGGCUGAACCAGCCAAGUCGCGUGAAGGAAGAAGGAUCUAUGGUUUGUAAACUUCUUUUAUAGGGGAAUAAAGUGGAGGACGUGUCCUUUUUGUAUGUACCCUAUGAAUAAGCAUCGGCUAACUCCGUG
rnacentral:rRNA from 1 species